AAACGAUUAUAAAAUUAAUAUUUCACGCCGAAAUUAUACAUCAUAUUAUUAAUAUAUUAUAUCGUUCGCAAUACUAACGAAAAAUUAGUUUUAUGUGGUGAGAUUGUGCCUAUUAUAUGUUUGAAAUUGAAAAAUAAUCUUAUAAAUCGCUAAAUUUAAAUUAGUAGAAGGCAUUUUAAUUUAUAGCAUACCUAAACUAGAUAGGUCGCUAGUAGGAAAUGUCAAAAGUUCAGUUUGUUCCAUGAAUUCGAAAACCUGUACACACGCAUAACGCGUUCAACAAUUAAAAUGUAAGUAUUAAAUUUAUUCUUGUACUAUUUUAAGUACAAAACUUCACGUUUAUAUUUAUAUAAAAUAAAUAUUACUAAACGAAAAAAUUAAAUUAAAUUCACAUUAGUUGUGACUUGUAUUAUAGGUUACACCCACCUAUCUGCCUAUAUUAUCGAGUCUCGUAGAGUUGUUUUUCUGAGCCGUUUUUAUGUUAUUUUCGGUAUUAAUUUUAAGAGAAGGCAUUUGGUUUUUGGACAGCGUGAAGAAAUUCUAAGACAGCCCUACAGGUAUCUACCACAUAGGGAGAUAGUAAAUUGCGUCCCAAUGAAAGGUGCCCGUAGCAAUAUAAUAUAAAUGAUGUUAGUUGCGUCCCGUGUUAUUGACGCGCUGUCACGUGCAUACCGCAUACGCAUACAUCAAUCCGUAAAAAUAAAUAUUUGUUGGUAAACGCGAGCUGUAAAUUCUACGUUACUGAUUUUAUUGUUGAAUUGAGUGCGUCGCACAUGUAUCAAAACGAACGAAAUAAAUAUACAGCGAAAACUGAGAAUAACAAAACCUUAAAAUUGAUCGGUGGCUACGAAUUUUUAAAAAAUGAUACGUGAAGUUAUGAUAGUAAUAAUAAUAAUUGUUUAGUUGAAAGUUUUAACGAACAUAUAAUCGUGAAACGAAAAGCAGUUGACCGCGUAUACUAAAAAUUAUGUGUUCAAUAGACCAUUUAACAUUUUAUAAGUGUACACAAUGAACCGAAAAACGACGAUGUUGAUUUGUCGACUUCCGGAGAUAAUAUUGUGUUAAUAAAAAGGAAUAGUCAUAAUGUUCGGGCUACCGUGUUCGAAAACGCGAGCAUUUUUAUUACACUCAAUGAAUAACGUGAUUUUGUAUACGUCAGAAAAAUACUCGUAGGACGCGAUUUACAUACACGUAUCCAAACGGAUGCGGUCCGACAAGCGAAUUACAGUCACGAUUAUCUGUAUUUUAUUUUUUACAUCGUUUAUCUUAUACUCGUGGCAAUAUUAUUAUUAUUAUUAUUACCCGAUAUUAUACGGUUGUUGGUACAGUCACAUGUUUUGUUUAAAACAAUAAACGGUACUCAUUAGAAUACAUUGUCCUUAUAUAAUGUCGACGAUGACGGUAACUGUUAACCGGGUAAAAAAAAGUAAUACAAAUUCCAUAACCUACACAAAAAUAUUACACACUGUAAGCAUAUAGUAUUAUGUGGCGGAGCCGUAGCAAGCUCUUUUGGCGCCCGAC